UACGAAGGGGGCUAGCGUUGCUCGGAAUCACUGGGCGUAAAGCGCACGUAGGCGGCUUUGUAAGUUAGAGGUGAAAGCCCGGGGCUCAACUCCGGAACUGCCUUUAAGACUGCAUCGCUUGAAUCCAGGAGAGGUGAGUGGAAUUCCGAGUGUAGAGGUGAAAUUCGUAGAUAUUCGGAAGAACACCAGUGGCGAAGGCGACUCGCUGGACAAGUAUUGACGCUGAGGUGCGAAAGCGUGGGGAGCAAACAGG
rnacentral:rRNA from 1 species